AGAACGAACGCUGGCGGCAUGCCUAACACAUGCAAGUCGAACGAGACCUUCGGGUCUAGUGGCGCACGGGUGCGUAACGCGUGGGAAUCUGCCCUUGGGUUCGGAAUAACAGCGAGAAAUUGCUGCUAAUACCGGAUGAUGACGUAAGUCCAAAGAUUUAUCGCCCAAGGAUGAGCCCGCGUAGGAUUAGCUUGUUGGUGAGGUAAGAGCUCACCAAGGCGACGAUCCUUAGCUGGUCUGAGAGGAUGAUCAGCCACACUGGGACUGAGACACGGCCCAGACUCCGUACGGGAGCAGCA
rnacentral:rRNA from 1 species